GACAGAUAUGCAGGGACAGACUGGCAGAGACAGGGAGUCUCAGUCAGUCGGGAGUAUGUCACAGGAAGCACAGGAAGACGGCAAUUGUUCUGAAAAUGUGAAGCCUAUGACAUCACUGCUAAGAGCAGUAGCAAUGUUCACACACAGUUCUAACACCCUAAGAUCAGUAGCUAGCCUGCAUACUGUAUAUUUACACACCAAACAGCCAAGGCCUGAGCUAGACUGAGAAGGCUGAGAGGACGACCACAGUAGAGACAGAGAACUUUAGGCCAGGAUCAGGAUGUUGCAUUGUGUCUGACUACAGGGGACAGCAGGAAAGCUGCCUGGCUUCUGUGAGGAAGUAAGUGAAUGUGAGAGGAGGCAGGUAGCAGCGGGCAGAGACAGAGAAGGCUCUUGCUGGCUCAGACAGAAAUGUUUCUAACCAUAAAUAUAAAGCAGGGUUAUGAAUGAGAGAUUUAACAGAAAGGAAUUAAGAAAGAGGAGGAUCAGGCAUUACAAUACUUUACAUUGCUGCCACUAAGUGUGUAUAAAAUACAGAUAUGUAGGACCUUCAU